rnacentral:rRNA from 1 species
GGCCAGACUCCUACGGGAGGCAGCAGUGGGGGAUAUUGCACAAUGGGGGAAACCCUGAUGCAGCGACGCCGCGUGGGCGAAGAAGUAUUUCGGUAUGUAAAGCCCUAUCAGCAGGGAAGAAGAAAUGACGGUACCUGAGUAAGAAGCACCGGCUAAAUACGUGCCAGCAGCCGCGGUAAUACGUAUGGUGCAAGCGUUAUCCGGAUUCACUGGGUGUAAAGGGAGCGUAGACGGCCAUGCAAGCCUGGAGUGAAAGCCCGGGGCCCAACCCCGGGACUGCUCUGGGAACUGUGCGGCUGGAGUGCGGGAGGGGCAGGCGGAAUUCCUGGUGUAGCGGUGAAAUGCGUAGAUAUCAGGAGGAACACCGGCGGCGAAGGCGGCCUGCUGGACCGCGACUGACGUUGAGGCUCGAAAGCGUGGGGAGCAAACAGGAUUAGAUACCCCAGUA